rfam:Tupaia chinensis contig6333, whole genome shotgun sequence.
UCAUACACAGUGUUAGCUGUGGCUUUGGCCGUGGGUGAGAUUUGGAUGCCCAGAGCCACCAGGGGCCUCAGCGAGAAGUGACGAAACCAGGUCCCUGUUGUG